CACUCCUGCGGGAGGCAGCAGUGGGGAAUAUUGGACGAUGGGCGCAAGCCUGAUCCAGCCAUGCCGCGUGAGUGAUGAAGGCCCUAGGGUUGUAAAGCUCUUUCACCGGUGAAGAUAAUGACGGUAACCGGAGAAGAAGCCCCGGCUAACUUCGUGCCAGCAGCCGCGGUAAUACGAAGGGGGCUAGCGUUGUUCGGAUUUACUGGGCGUAAAGCGCACGUAGGCGGACUAUUAAGUCAGGGGUGAAAUCCCGGGGCUCAACCCCGGAACUGCCUUUGAUACUGGUAGUCUUGAGUUCGAGAGAGGUGAGUGGAAUUCCGAGUGUAGAGGUGAAAUUCGUAGAUAUUCGGAGGAACACCAGUGGCGAAGGCGGCUCACUGGCUCGAUACUGACGCUGAGGUGCGAAAGCGUGGGGAGCAAACAGGAUUAGAAACCCCGGUAGUCCCA
rnacentral:rRNA from 1 species